rnacentral:rRNA from 1 species
CCUACGGGUGGCUGCAGUGAGGAAUAUUGGUCAAUGGGCGCGAGCCUGAACCAGCCAAGUCGCGUGAGGGAUGAAGGUUCUAUGGAUCGUAAACCUCUUUUAUAAGGGAAUAAAGUGUGGGACGUGUCCUAUUUUGUAUGUACCUUAUGAAUAAGGAUCGGCUAACUCCGUGCCAGCAGCCGCGGUAAUACGGAGGAUCCGAGCGUUAUCCGGAUUUAUUGGGUUUAAAGGGUGCGUAGGCGGCCUUUUAAGUCAGCGGUGAAAGUCUGUGGCUCAACCAUAGAAUUGCCGUUGAAACUGGGGGGCUUGAGUAUAGGUGAGGCAGGCGGAAUGCGUGGUGUAGCGGUGAAAUGCGUAGAUAUCACGCAGAACUCCGAUUGCGAAGGCAGCAGACCGGCGCCCUACUGACGCUGAGGCACGAAAGCGUGGGUAUCGAACAGGAUUAGAUACCCUAGUAGUC